rnacentral:rRNA from 1 species
GCAAGUCGAAUGGGUUUAGACCCAUGGCAGACGAGGUAGUAACACGUAGGAUUACGUACCCUAAAGUCAAGGAUAACCUGGAGAAAUCCAGAAUAAUACUUGAUAGUCUCUUUAGUUUAUUCUAAGGAGUAAAGUUUUAACGCUUUAGGAACGGCCUGCGGAGUAUCAGCUUGUUGGUAGUGUAAAGGACUACCAAGGCUAUGACGCUUAGGGGAGGUGAGAGCCUGACC